rnacentral:rRNA from 1 species
GCAGUGACGGUAUCCAACCAGAAAGUCACGGCUAACUACGUGCCAGCAGCCGCGGUAAUACGUAGGUGGCAAGCGUUAUCCGGAUUUAUUGGGCGUAAAGCGAGCGCAGGCGGUUGCUUAGGUCUGAUGUGAAAGCCUUCGGCUUAACCGAAGAAGUGCAUCGGAAACCGGGCGACUUGAGUGCAGAAGAGGACAGUGGAACUCCAUGUGUAGCGGUGGAAUGCGUAGAUAUAUGGAAGAACACCAGUGGCGAAGGCGGCUGUCUGGUCUGCAACUGACGCUGAGGCUCGAAAGCAUGGGUAGCGAACAGGAUUAGAUACCCUGGUAGUCCAUGCCGUAAACGAUGAGUGCUAGGUGUUGGAGGGUUUCCGCCCUUCAGUGCCGGAGCUAACGCAUUAAGCACUCCGCCUGGGGAGUACGACCGCAAGGUUGAAACUCAAAGGAAUUGACGGGGGCCCGCACAAGCGGUGGAGCAUGUGGUUUAAUUCGAAGCUACGCGAAGAACCUUACCAGGUCUUGACAUCUUGCGCUAACCUUAGAGAUAAGGCGUUCCCUUCGGGGACGCAAUGACAGGUGGUGCAUGGUCGUCGUCAGCUCGUGUCGUGAGAUGUUGGGUUAAGUCCCGCAACGAGCGCAACCCUUGUUACUAGUUGCCAGCAUUAAGUUGGGCACUCUAGUGAGACUGCCGGUGACAAACCGGAGGAAGGUGGGGACGACGUCAGAUCAUCAUGCCCCUUAUGACCUGGGCUACACACGUGCUACAAUGGACGGUACAACGAGUCGCAAGCUCGCGAGAGUAAGCUAAUCUCUUAAAGCCGUUCUCAGUUCGGACUGUAGGCUGCAACUCGCCUACACGAAGUCGGAAUCGCUAGUAAUCGCGGAUCAGCAUGCCGCGGUGAAUACGUUCCCGGGCCUUGUACACACCGCCCGUCACACCAUGGGAGUUUGUAACGCCCAAAGUCGGUGGCCUAACCUUUAUGGAGGGAGCCGCCUAAGGCGGGA